AUGUUUACUCAACUCAGCUGUGUCCUUGCUGUUUUUCUGUCACAUAUUUUACAGAUAGAAAGACAAAGUCAGUGUGUUGUUCACAUAUUUGGAUCUUCUUUUACCUUCACAUCGAACAUCAACAUGAGUUUGUCAACCAUCCUCCCCAGUUUUUCCGAGAGCGCAGUGCAGUCCUCAUCUCCUGAACUCUCAGAUGAGCUCACCGCUGCCCUCGCCGCAGGCCGCUGGUGGGCAAUAAUGGAGGUUUCUUCUCCUAUAUCUGAAGAGCCUGAGUAUGGAGACCUCACCUCAGUGCAGUGGCGGGGAACAAUGGAGGCAGGAGAAACUUUGUGCCCCAAGUCUGUGGUCUUCAGUGAUGAAUGUGAGAAGACUGAGUCCCUGCACUCAAGCUUCCCAGCUGCAACACUGAAGACCAAAGAGCUGUGGAGGAAGAAGAAGACACAGGGUGCACCGGUGCCUCCCAGGUCCCAACACGGUGCACCUGUGCCUACAAAUACCAAGAAGAGGGACCACAACUCAUCCCUGGUCUUCAACUAUGAAUCUAAGAAGGCUGAGUCUCCGCGCUCAGGCUUUACAGAUGCAACACUGAAGACCAAGGAGCUGUGGAGGCAGAAGAAGCCUCAGGGAGCACCUGUGUUUGCUGGAUCUGAGUUCACUAAUGAAAUACUGAAGACCACUAAGCAGGGGAGGCAACAGCAAAGAAAGUGGACCGAGAUGAAGCCUCAGGCAGCACCUGAACCUGCUGGAUCCCCACAAAGACCACCUGUGACCACUGGCUCUCAGCGAAGAGGAAAGCUCAUGAUCCCCGAGAAUCUGAGGCAGCAUCUGCUAAAGGCUGCUUCUGAACUGGAAUCACCUGUGUCUGCUAGAUCCCCACAGAGAGCACCAGUGCCCACAGUGUCUCCUCAAAACACAGCCAUGCACACCAAGUCUCUACAGAGAGAAGCUAUGCCUGCCCCAGAGGUGCCAAAACCAAAGAUACCUGAGCCGCUGAGACAGGAGCUGCUGCAGCAGAAGCCCAACAAGAUCCAAGAGAAGCAAAGGCUGAAGAUACCUGAGCCGCUGAGACAGGAGCUGCUGCAGCUGUCGGCUCGAGCCUCUUCUGUUCAAGGAGCACCUGUGCCUCAAAAGACCACAGAGAGGCAAAACCUUAAAAUCCCUCAGUCGCUGAGACAGGAGCUCCUGCAGGUUUCAUCUUGUGCCUCUUCUGAGAAGGGAGCACCUGGACCCAACAAGACCCCAGAGAGACAAAAGCUCAAGAUUCCUGAGCGUCUGAGGAAGGAGUUUCUGCAGCAGAAGCCUCAAGCCUGUCCUGUACAGGGUGAUCCCAUGGCUUUCAAGUCCCCACAGGAAGCACCUUUACCUGACAGGAGCCCUGUGUAUGUUGGGACCCCACAGGGAGCAGGAGUGUUUGCCAGGUCUCCACCGGCAGAGGCAGUGCCCGCUGAGCCUCCGAAAGUAGAGACAGUUCCCUCCAAAACCACAAAGACAAGAAAACGGAGACUUGCUGAGUAUCAGAGCAUUCCUGUCUCUGGCACCCAGGCACUACCCAUGUCCUCCAGGACCUCAAGCGUGGUGCCUGUGCAUUCUGGGACCCUACAGGGAGCACUUGUGACCAAAAGUUCCCCACAACAGGGAUCAAAUCCCAGAAUGACUGAGCAGCAGAAGAAGAAGCGCAGGGAGCAGUGGAGACAGCAGAAGAGACAGCGGAGGCAGCAGAAAGCAGCAGUAAGUCCCUUCCAUCUCUCGUUUUUACUUAUUUUCAGAUUUAUUCUAAAAUAUAAACCCUUCCUUCACCUAAGAUACUAUGUUGUAAAAAGAUUUAGUUAUAUUUAUAUUUAA
rnacentral:lncRNA from 1 species